rnacentral:rRNA from 1 species
UACGGAGGGAGCAAGCGUUACUCGGAAUUAUUGGGCGUAAAGAGCGUGUAGGCGGCCAAGCAGGUCCGCUGUGAAAACUCGAGGCUCAACCUCGAGACGUCGGUGGAAACCGUUUGGCUAGAGUCCGGAAGAGGAGAGUGGAAUUCCCGGUGUAGCGGUGAAAUGCGCAGAUAUCGGGAAGAACACCCGUGGCGAAGGCGGCUCUCUGGGACGGUACUGACGCUGAGACGCGAAAGCGUGGGGAGCAAACGGG